rnacentral:lncRNA from 1 species
GAUUUCAAAAAAAAAAAAAAUAUUAUAAUAAUGAAUAGUAAUGAACCUGUCUCUCCCAAGCUCUUCCCAGUGAACCUGGUUCAUCACUGUAGCGCGGGUCCCACAACACGUGGCGGCCCGCGAUUGGUCCGAUUAAUUAAUUUUUUUUUUUUUAAAACAAAAAUCAAACAGUAAAAAAAAAUAAUAAAAAAAUACUUUGUGAACUCCUUUCAUGGGGUUCACUGAUGCACAUGCUCUAACACUCAAGUUAACCGUCUCCUCUCUCUUUAUCCUCUCUACGAAAACCCAAAACUGAAGUGAGCUUGAGCUCCGGCGUCCGGUGAGCGCGUGAGCGCGACGGCCGGCGCCGGAGGCACCCCUUUUUCUCUGUUUCCGUUCAUGUGUUGCUGCUCUGUGUUCUCCAGCUUCUUUUCCGACAUAUCGAGGGAUCUGGGUUAGGGUUUCUAACCGGCGAACGUUCUCUGCGCAAGGACUGUCUCACCGGCGACGGCUCCGCUUCCUCUGGCUUUCCGGUGAGGUUAUUGAAGAGGGAGACUCGAAGCAGUCGGCUUUUGAGUUGGGAGAAGAUCGAUUUUCAAAUCUCAGAUUAACUCCGGUCAUUCAUGUUGUUUGUUGAGAAGGUUCACACAGAUUUCAAAAAAAAAAAAAAUAUUAUAAUAAUGAAUAGUAAUGAACCUGUCUCUCCCAAGCUCUUCCCAGUGAACCUGGUUCAUCACUGUAGCGCGGGUCCCACAACACGUGGCGGCCCGCGAUUGGUCCGAUUAAUUAAUUUUUUUUUUUUUAAAACAAAAAUCAAACAGUAAAAAAAAAUAAUAAAAAAAUACUUUGUGAACUCCUUUCAUGGGGUUCACUGAUGCACAUGCUCUAACACUCAAGUUAACUGUCUCCUCUCUCUUUAUCCUCUCUACGAAAACCCAAAACUGAAGUGAGCUUGAGCUCCGGCGUCCGGUGAGCGCGUGAGCGCGACGGCCGGCGCCGGAGGCACCCCUUUUUCUCUGUUUCCGUUCAUGUGUUGCUGCUCUGUGUUCUCCAGCUUCUUUUCCGACAUAUCGAGGGAUCUGGGUUAGGGUUUCUAACCGGCGAACGUUCUCUGCGCAAGGACUGUCUCACCGGCGACGGCUCCGCUUCCUCUGGCUUUCCGGUGAGGUUAUUGAAGAGGGAGACUCGAAGCAGUCGGCUUUUGAGUUGGGAGAAGAUCGAUUUUCAAAUCUCAGAUUAACUCCGGUCAUUCAUGUUGUUUGUUG